UAUGUAAAGCUAGGAGUUUUGCUUCCACAGUAGUCCCAAGACAACUUGUCAGGGUAUGAACAUUGCGUGUUACAGAAAGCAUAGAAUAAGUAAGGAACAUGAAUUAACCAUAUCAACAGAUAACAGAGAAUCUCUGUGAAAUUAAAUUCUGUGGUGAGAUACGUAGGAAAUAUAUAUAAUUACUUGACUCAGAUUAUGACACACAAGCUAUAGAAAAUCAUGGAGCUCACAGUAUCUCUUAGGGCAGAAUCCAUGAUAAUGUGAGGAGACUGCUGCUCAUUUUGCUUUCUGCCGUUGUCAUGGUAGAAUGGUAGGAAAAAAUGUAGUUUUUUUUUUUUUAAACCAUUAUAAAUUACCUGACAAGAAUAUGGCAGUGUUCCAGAGUAUUAAAAACAGAUACAAGUCUCAGUUUGGCAUCAGUAGAGUAGGGUUCAAGGUGUUUUAACAGCAAAAACAUUUUAUGGUCAUUACCAUGAAGUACUGAGAUUGAAUGUCCUUGUACAGGAGCACGGGAAAGAUUUCAGUAAGUAAUAAUAAGUUCAAAAGAAACGGAAUGACUAUGGGAAAAGAUUGAGUACGGGAAGAGCACUAGCAGUAAAGUGCUUGCAGAUAAUUCAGAGCUUGUUUAAAGACAGUGUUUCGGAGGUUCAGAGUAAAUAGAGGCUACUCAUUAAUAAAAAUAAAAGAGGCCCUUAAUCAUGGUUAUGGUUUUAAAUUAAUCAUGGGGAAUGGUUUUAAACUAACACGAGGGAGAUUUAGCUUAGAUGUUAGGAGGAAAUUUUUCCACGCCGAGGGUGGUGACGUGCUGGAACUGGUUGCCCAAGGACAUUGUGGAUGCCCCGUCCCUGGAGGCAUUCGAGGCCAGGCUGGAUGCGGCUCUCGGCAGCCUGCUCUAGUGGUUGGCGGCCCUGCCCACAACAGGGGGGUUGAAACGACAUGAUCAUUAUGGUCCUUUUCAACCCAGGCCAUUCUAUGAUUCUGUGGUACGUUUAAAUUUCCCUUUAGACAUCAGAAGAGACUAUGGAAACUACAAGACGAUGUCUCUCAGAGUCCUGUGCAGGACAAUGGCAAAAACUAAAGCUCGGCUAAAACUGGCUUAAGAAUGUCAUAGCGUUGAUUGGCUAUGUAAAAAAGAUGGCACAAAUGCUGUCGAUAGGUGUGAAGUAACGACCGCAGAUUAAAAAGCUUGCCUAACUUUGGAUGUACAGUAGGAUUGUGGGUCAAUGUGACUUUCCUUUUCAUCCAGCGUAGCUGCUGUCACACAGCAAAAUAUUUUUAGGCUUCAUCAAAUGCCGUGGCAGGAAAUGAGGUUUUAGUGUGCAUUUCUUUGCUUUAGAAUGAGUCAUUUUAGUAGAGGACAGUUCAAACAAGCUGUGUGGAUUUGGUGUUCCGGGACCUCAGUCAAAGUGAUGAUGCUAGGCAAGACCAAGAUGCCAUCAAGAAUAUUUUUGUUGACACUUCUUCACGUAACACCUGUAGCUCUGAUGGCUAAUGGUGUUAAAGCCUUAAUUAAAAUGUAAAACCAGGUCUGUAGGAAGAGGAAGUCCAUCUUUUCCUGGAAGAAUGUGGUCCUCAGCGAGACGUUACGGGAGGAACUGCCGCAAGAUGUUUCUCCUACAACUUUUUUAUGUCAGACUCUAUCUAUUUUAGGAAUAGAGUCCUAAAAUGACUCGCUCAGGAAGAGUAGCGUCUAAGGCUAUGGCUCUAGUACUGUUCAGAGGUAGCGUUUGAUGAAGAAAACCUUGUGUCAUUCAUCAAGUGUGAAGCAGUCACCUGGCUAUGAAUGCCUACAACCCAUGGGAAAUCGAGGUUGCUUCUGCUAGUAUUAGUUCUAGAGUAUUAGAUAGUUUAUAUAAAAUGAGCUUGCCACACCCACGAAGUCUUCAGAAUAUUGGAAGGUCUCUGGGAGAUACGUGUAAAGAGGAAUUCCUUCGGGAAGGAAAUGUCAUUGGGCUUUGGAAACAUGGAGCCGAAGGACAGAGUGCAGAACCUGCGUGGGUAAAGCAAACAGCAGCUAGUAGCAAGUUAGUGUUGCCAUAAUCCAGAGCAAUUUAUCGUGCUUAAACUUCUAGUGUGUAUGCCAGUAUCACUAAGUGCCUUAUUUAAACCAUCCGUGCGUGUAGAGUGCAGCGCUGCUAAGUACACUGGAAUGGGAAACGAUGCGCCAUAACUGGUGCCGUGUGAAUUUACGGCCCAGCCUCCUCUCCAAGCUCUCUGGACAACUUUGUAAUUUUUUCCUUUGAUCUUGUCUCCCCUCCUUUUGAGGUUUAGGAAAUCCUGAUCUCAACCCCUUUGCUCUGUAUGACCGUGAUGACCGAGGAUCAUUAAUUUAAGGCUAAGUUUCUGGGAGUUCUGCUGUCUCUCCCAAGGUACUAAAUCCCCAAAUUAAUAAACAUUUAAAUUUCUGGCGUGUUUCAUUGCAUAGCGACAUGCUAAUGAUCUGUCUCCCUCCCUUACAAGUGAAGAGGCUCAGUGCACGGGCAGAUAAAAAACUGGUAAUACUCAUAAAACACCACGGGAAAUUCUCAAUUCUAUAUAAAGAAAACUUUGAAGCUCUGCUUCUCUGAAUCAUUUACUUGAUUAGGAAGGGUUUUAUUCUUUCUGACUCUUACUCUGACUCUAGUUGAGCUCUGACCUAGGAUUUUCAUCUUGCCUGCGUGUGAUGAAAUCUCUCUUGAUUUACUGGCAGCGCUGUUUGAAUAACACCAAACGGAUUUACAGGCUAGCACUGGUAUUUUCAGUUCACUGCUAGUGCUGGUCGACUAGCAAUAUAAUCUAGCUCAUUAAUUUGUUGGGUAUUGCCAUGUAAAGUUAGUUGAAUAUGUAUGAGGCAAAAUGCGAUUGCAAUAAAAUGCAAAGGUUUCCACAUGCCCGUGCUGUUGCCAGCGGUCCAACUUAAUUUACUUCUUGUCUUAUUGAGAAAGGAGCACCGGGAGACUUAACUAGCACGUCUUUGUAACGGUUCAAAGAGAUAAGAGCCGUAUUUGGAUUGGCAAGCCACCCUGGCCAUGAGGCUGUUGGUGCUGGGCUGCGUAUUUUGUGUUGGGAGGCCAAAAGUCCUGCUUUCAAAUGGGAGUCAGCCAGAGUGCAACGUUGAACGUGAAGCUCCAUCCAAGUUGCGUGUUCUGAGCUUGGGCAUUUGAGCAGGAAAAACAGGCGGGCUCUUGUCCGGUGGUGUCUUCUUUCCUGCUGCACAGAGUUUAUUUUCUAAUGAAUGGGAAAAUCCUUACCGAGCUGGGAGUUCUAUGGGAACUUGUGGUUUGACCUUCAUGAGUAGUUCUGGUUAAUAAUUAGUCCAGCAAGUCUCAUAAAUGCAGGGUUUAAGUCACUGCUGAGACAUCGAUCCUCGUAGUUACCAAAUGCUUAGAAAAGAUAAAAAUCACCUUCCCGACCUCAUUCUUCUUAAUCUAUCCUAUUAUUGUUAGUCUUUGUGCACCUUGGUAGUGCCUCUCGUGACAUUUCAUCCAAAGACGUUUCUCAAAAGGGAUUAAAAUAAAUAGUUCCAUUACUGAGGAACAGGCCAAGCUGAACAAGCAGAAGAGAGAAAAGCAGGAAGCCAUCCCGGCGUUGGGGAGAAGGAGAGGCAGGGAGGCUGAAGACCUCAAGAAAUCUCAGAACAGCAGUUUCAUACGUAGAAACCACCACCGUGCCCUGGAUCUUGAGGCGCAAAUGGGAAAGGAAGGUUCGUGCUAAGGCUGCUGUUCCUAGGACUGCAAUGAGAGACCGAUAUACAGAAUGUUUUAGGUUGGAAGGAAUCUUAAUGAUCAUCUAGUUCCAACCGCCCUGCCACAGACAGGAUUGCCACUCAGGAGGUCAGGCUGCCCAGGGUCCCAUCCAACCUGACCAGGGAUGGAGCAACUGCAGCUUCUCUGGGCAGCCGGCUCCAGUUUAGGCAUCCCUUGCUUUAUUUCUUACCCCUUGCUUCAUGUCAGGCCUGCUGUUUACUGCUUAUUUUACUACCAUUUCAAAGUCUGAUGUUUAUUUACACCUGACAAACGAGUAUUGCACCGCUUGACGUUGGUACGGCGGUUGCUGGAGAGGUCAGGCUGGGCUCCCUUCAUCCCACUGGAUUUACGGGAACGGACUCGUAAGGCUUCCCCCAGGGAAGGAGGCAGUAGUAUAAAGAAAGAUGAUGCAGAAUUUUAGCUUCCAUUUGAAAAAGAAAGGGUGUUUCCAGAAUUUACUGCUUUGUAGCGUGAUCUUAAGCUUACUUGUAUUCACUGAACAUAUCCAGAAGCCUUAAACAAUAUGGCUAGAGGAAACAUAUUCAGCUGGGACCCCUGGGGGGAUCGUAUGAGGAAAAGAGACAGAGGGUCCGGCAGCACGAGCAGAGCUGCGGAUGGGGCAAAAGAAGUCCCAGAGGAGAUGUACUCACAUCUUUCUUCUUUUCAGCUUUACUUGUGAGCCUCUGAACCCAUUUCAGGGAAGAGCAGCGCGUGGGGAGGCGAGAUGGGAGAGCGUAAAUCCGCGGGCAAUCAAACUUUCCUUGCUUUCACUGCUCACAAAAUGAUUUUGCUAGGGCCAAAUGUUAGAGUCUCUUCCUAGAGAAAACGAGAUUGACUUGAGCUUGUUGCAUUCAAACCAUGUUAUUUUGUUUCCCAAAUGCGGUGGCCGCUCAGGCUGCAAGAUUUAGGUAGGUUGUCACAUAAUUUUCCCUCCGAGUAGGCAUCCGCUGCGCUACGGAUUUGCUGUUGCGUAUGGGAGAUGGCUGUGCAUCUUAGAGCUAAUUAGAGUUUUUUGCGGUUCUGGCUCCUGCUGUAGCAGGAUUUUCUCUUCAGCACUGCGUAUUUUCACGGAAUUCAUUGUUGAGUGAAGAAAGAUAGGGCUUAGAAAUGUGCCGGAAGACUUUCUGCGAUCAGCGCGAUGAACUUCCAUGCGACAGCGAGCCUCUCCCGCUCACUCGCUGGCAUCCUUGGAGCUAUUGCCUUCCCGUACCGUAAGUGCUUGCUGCAUACGUCCCCUCCCUGUAAAAGAUGCGAAGCUUAAAUGUGCUCAUAUCUUCAGAAGGAGGAUACGUGCAGAAUGCAGAUGUCUGUUUAGAACUGCUGGCUCAGUUUCACGCAAAUGUCUCCUCUCUGCGGGCAGCUGGCAGAAUGCGAGAGCGUCCGGAAGCGCAUUCAAACUGGAUAUAUUUGUAAGGUGAGUGAAAGGAGCACGCUGGCUUCUGUGCGUGCUGAGCAGUACUUCUAUAGUAGGGUAAGUCAGGAAGACAGGCUCCAGCUCUUACCGGAGGAGCUGUAGGUCUCAAUGGGAUGCUUUCAGGGGGUGGUUUGGGGUGAGGAAGGCGAUUCCAGCAAGACGCAUGGGGGUCAGCUGGUUUCACUCUGCAUUUGUGCGCACUGUAACGUCAGAAAAAAGAUGAAGAAUCCAAGUCUUGCAAGUAAAAUACAAGCAGAUUGAGAACUUGAGGUGUGAAAUUAUCAUACGGUAGUAAGAUACCAACUUUUCCUGCCCGCUGGCGCCCUCCGGUGAGUACUGGCUAAUGCCUUUUCGAAGGCAGUUCGUCUGCUUCAGGUUCCUUAAUUUGCCUUUUGGCCAAAACGGCGAUAGUGCAGGGUAAGGGGAUGCACCAGCUGCUAUGGAACUGGCCACAUAAAAUCGGUAAGUUGGCAGCUAUUUACGUGACUAUGUCAAGGUUAGGAAAAGGAGGUAGAAUAAAGUGAAGGGCCGCUUCUUUUUUUGCACGUAGUAAUUCUUUUUUUUUUCUGAUAGAAAGCUGAUUUUGCGUUCAAUGAAACAGUUACAAGAAAAUUUGUGGUCUCUCGGUGGCUGUAAUUUUCCUGUUUGCUGACAAAUUUUGGGCUUAUUCCUUUCCUCUUUCCAUACAUGCUCAUCUGCUCUUGGCUUCUAACGAGAACGUAACGUGUGUUGGUGAUGAUUUCCCAUAGGAACGCAUUGAAAAAGCGAUUGCGCUGAAACCUGAGGAGCCGAAGCCUUACUGCCUUUUGGGCAGGUGGUGUUACCAGCACCUCAGCGCCGUGCAGAAGAGCUAUAGAGACGUCUGCCAAGACACUGCAUCUCAUUCAGGAUUUCUCAGCUUCCCAUCCAAACCCUCUUGCUGACCUCCUGUUAAGCCUGAAAGGUUUCUCAUCUGGAAUGGCUUGAAAGAAAGACUGCUUCUGCUUUGUUUGAAACCCCUCCUACAGCCACUGUACGGGAUGUGCUGCAAAACUUCCUAAAGUGCUCCAAGGACGCGGGGAACAGCUCUGCAGCUCAUCUCUGGAGGAAUCUUGCUUCCGAACCGCCAAUGGACACGAAAGAGAAUUCAGAAACAGAGAGAGAAGUCGAGGAGAUGCGCUCAGCCUGGGAGGAAUAAGAGUAGGAGAGCUCAUUCUGCUCGACACGAAAUCCCACUGAGAGGGGUUUCACGGCCCUGACGAGUUUGGUUGCGCUUUGUGGAUAAGCUGGAGGACAAGCUCUGCAUUCUCAUCAGCAUUUCUGGGAAAACAUCUUGAUGUCCCGCUGAGAGAAAGGUGAGAGUCGGUGGGCACCGGGAGACUGAUUUUUAGCGACCCGACGCACCAAAGGCCGUGGGAGUUCCUCACUUCCCUCGGCGUCUCGGUUCGAGCGGGCGCUGACGCAAUGGCUCAGGGAAAGGCCACUACAAAGAAAGAACGGUGCUGACUUAAAAAUAAGUGAGUCAUCGGUCCUUUCUUCCUUGCCGUGACAAAACCGACAGUGAUGUCCGAAACGCAGUCCCGUCGAUCCUGUCCAGUUAUACCUAAGCUACCUUUCUGGUUUUCUGUCGAGGAGAAACCAGUGCUGCUCGUUACAGUGAGAAAACACCAAGGGACUGAGAAGAUGUCGUUCACAAGAAGAACUCGGUUUUCCAGAGGUGCGCUGUUUUCAUCAGAACAGGGAGUAAUGAGGUUUUAAACUUCAGGACUUUCUCGUACUCACGUCACUCACACGAGAGCGAAAACUCGGUGCGUCCCUCCCGACUACGCGGCUACGGCUUAGAUAUAACAGCUUAGCAGUUGUUUAUCUCACCGUCUUCCCCAUUUAUACAUUUGACGCUUGUUAGCUACUUUUAUUUUGGUCCCGAUGGAACUCCCUACAAGUUUGAUGCCGAGUUCAUCUUAUGAGAUCCAGGUAAGGGUGCAGUUAGCUUUAUUUGCUUGAGACUAUACGUGCAAUUCUUACAAUCGGAGAACUGAAUUCAAACAGGGUGAAUCGAUCGCCGGGUCUCUGCUAAAAGAUACCAAAAGUACACAGCUUUUCUUACUUGCAGGCCUUCACUGUUGCCUAAGUCUUCAAAAUAGAAACUA